ACUCCUACGGGAGGCAGCAGUGGGAAGUAUUGCACAAUGGGGAAAGGACCCUGAUGCAGCCAUGCCGCGUGUGUGAAGAAGGCCUUCGGGUUGUAAAGCACUUUCAGUAGGGAGGAAGGUAGUGUAGUUAACACCUGCACUAUUUGACGUUACCUACAGAAGAAGCACCGGCUAACUCCGUGCCAGCAGCCGCGGUAAUACGGAGGGUGCGAGCGUUAAUCGGAAUUACUGGGCGUAAAGCGCAUGCAGGCGGCCUGUUAAGUCAGAUGUGAAAGCCCGGGGCUUAACCUCGGAAUUGCAUUUGAAACUGGCAGGCUAGAGUCUUGUAGAGGGGGUAGAAUUUCAGGUGUAGCGGUGAAAUGCGUAGAGAUCUGAAGGAAUACCAGUGGCGAAGGCGGCCCCGGACAAAGACUGACGCUCAGAUGCGAAAG
rnacentral:rRNA from 1 species